CAAUAUUAUGGACAAUGCUGGGUAGUAACAGAUUACAUGCAAUCUGGAUAAAGUACUUGUAAUUAGAUUACAUAUUAAAAUGCUCUGAAUCAUACUAGUUACUUUAUCGAUUACAUAAUAUUUACACAAUUUACAAAAAUCAUUUCAAUUUAAAAUGUGUUUUCUCAACAUUUUAACUCUGCAUCAAUUACUGAUGAACACAUUAAUUUUUUUUUUUUUAAUUAUCCUUCAGUGGGUUAUUUAACAAUGUAUUACUAUGUCUUUGGAAGGCCUUUGUCUUUCCAAUACAUUACAAUGCAUAAAUUCACAUUAUAUCUUAUUAACAGUACAUGCAAUGCAAGGGUUCUCAACUUUUUGUCAGCCGAUCACUUUCAUGCCAGUUUGGAAAAACUUAUGUAAUGUUUAAGCAAUGUUUAAUUCAUCUCACGUUAACAACGAAUUGAGUAUAUUUUCUUUCUCCUUGGAUUUUUUUUUUUUAAUAUCAGUAUGGUGUGUAUAUAUAUAUAUAUAUAUACCCCAUUUACAGCGAUAUCGUUGACUUGAUUGCAAAUGAUUGCACAGCUACUAUUUAAACUGAACUGAGCUGAAUCAUGACAUCACUGAAUUCAGUGAUGAACUGACUUUAACUGUCAUUUUGCAUUAUUGACACUGUUUUCCUAAUUAAUGUUGUUCAGUUGCUUUGACACAAUUUGUUGUUUAUAAAGCGCUAUAUAAAUAAGGGUGACUUGGUACAAGAUUAAAUCAAUGUGAUAAAGUACGUAAGUAAUCUUCCCAGCACUGAUUAUGGAUAAAGGACUCUUAUAUUUUGUCCAGAAGCAACAGUUUGAAGUUAAAAAUGUCUUGAUGGAUUGAUGACAAACACAACUGUUUUUCUUCACAAGACAUUAACUGACAGAUUGGAGUUGUGUAGAUUACAUGUGGAUUAUUGUGAUAUUUUUAUCAGCUCUGAUUCUGAUGGCACCCAUUCACUGCAGUGGAUUCACUGGUGAGCAACUGAUGUAAUGCUAGAUUUCUCAAAAUCAGUUCAAAAUUAACUAACUCAUAUACACCUUGGAUGGUCUUA
ensembl:lncRNA